GUGUCAGCCGCCGCGGUAAUACGUAGGUGGCAAGCGUUGUCCGGAUUUACUGGGCGUAAAGCGCGUGUAGGCGGCUCGUUAAGUCUGUCGUGAAAUCUCCCGGCUUAACCGGGAUAGGUCGACGGAUACUGGCGGGCUUGAGGGGAGCAGAGGAAGGUGGAAUUCCCGGUGUAGUGGUGAAAUGCGUAGAUAUCGGGAGGAACACCAGUGGCGAAGGCGGCCUUCUGGGCUCUACCUGACGCUGAGACGCGAAAGCGUGGGGAGCGAACCGGAUUAGAUACCCGGGUAGUCCACGCCGUAAACGAUGGAUACUAGGUGUGGGGGGUAUCGACCCCCUCCGUGCCGAAGCUAACGCUCUAAGUAUCCCGCCUGGGGAGUACGGCCGCAAGGCUAAA
rnacentral:rRNA from 1 species